rnacentral:rRNA from 1 species
GAGAGGCUCUGACCUUAGUACGAGAGGACCGGGUUGGACGCACCUCUGGUGUACCAGUUGUCACGCCAGUGGCAUCGCUGGGUAGCCAUGUGCGGAUUGGAUAACCGCUGAAAGCAUCUAAGCGGGAAACCGACCUCAAGACUUGGCCUCCCGGGGAGCAAUCCCCCUGAAGACCCGAUGGAGACUACGUCGUUGAUAGGCCGGAUGUGUAAGCACGGUAACGUGUUCAGCUAACCGGUACUAAUCGGUCGUGCGGCUUGCAUUA